rnacentral:lncRNA from 1 species
GUGCUCACAACUAACCACACAAUUAGUGCUUUGAUGAAAAAGCUGAGUGUGUUUUGGGGUUCUUUAAGAGGGGGAGUUCCAGUGGGGCCACUCUUGUCUCAGUAGAAGCCACAUGCAAUUGACACCUCUUUUGCUUGACUCACACACUGUGCUUAGGAACUGGGAAAAGUGAACCAGCUCUUACCAGGUACUUUCUCUCUUACAGAGAACUGGUUGUGCUUGGGAAAGAUUUUUAGACAAUAAUAAACUGGAAAUUUGAGAGAGGAAAGUACAGUCUAAACCUUCACCUGGUAAUGGAUGAAGAGCAAGGAGAGUGGGACCACCCUCUCAUUCUUUUCCCAAACAUGGAUGGAUGUGAGCAGGGGACUAUGACCCAAGGGUCAGGGGGAAAGGAGAAAUGGAAUGGCUUCAAGGAUGAAGAGGCUUGACUGAAGAUUUGGUUUGAAUGAGUAACUCACUGUUUCCCACCAAUUAAAAAAACCUCAUAUCUCUGUGUAAGCCCCACAUGGCUACUCCAUUAUCUGAGACUCCAAGUUCUCUGAGACUAAUAAAGACUCUGAGUAGCCCUCUCAAUAAGUGGAUUUGGAACUGUUCUGGAAGAAAGAAAAAUUUCCAAGAAGACUCAGUUUCUGAAAGGCACAGGCAAGAAAUGUCCCCUGUGCUCAGCUCACAUAUUCAGCUCUUGAGGAACUCGGGGAACUUAUCGCCCCUCCAUCCAGCCACUGAUUUUUCUGAUGGUUCCUGUCUUUGAAACAUCUCUCAUUCAGGCUAAAAAAAAUGGUUUCUUUUUGUAUGCUGUGAAGAGGACAACAAAAUAGGUGUAAAUUUUCUUUAUAGAGAUAUGUGAAUUGAUUAUGAAAAUGGGGUAGAACAACACUGAAAUAUAAUAUUAAAUUAUAUCUUUUUGUCAGCCUGGUUGAGUGA